GACGAACGCUGGCGGCGUGCUUAACACAUGCAAGUCGAACGGAAAGGCCCUGCUUUUGUGGGGUGCUCGAGUGGCGAACGGGUGAGUAACACGUGAGUAACCUGCCCUUGACUUUGGGAUAACUUCAGGAAACUGGGGCUAAUACCGGAUAGGAGCUCCUGCUGCAUGGUGGGGGUUGGAAAGUUUCGGCGGUUGGGGAUGGACUCGCGGCUUAUCAGCUUGUUGGUGGGGUAGUGGCUUACCAAGGCUUUGACGGGUAGCCGGCCUGAGAGGGUGACCGGGCCAAAGUGGGAUGGGAGAAGGGCCCGGACUCCUACGGAGGGAGGGGGGGGGGAAUUUGCCAAAAGGGGGGGAGGCGUGGGGCACCAACGCCGGGGGGGGAAGGACGGCCUUGGGGUUGAAAACCGUUUUCCCCUGUGACGAGGCGUGGGGGCGGGAAAUGGGUAAAAAAGCACCGGCUAACUACGU
rnacentral:rRNA from 1 species